AGGUGAGGCCUACAAGGCUGUGAACUAAUGGCUAACCCUCCUGUCCAGGCAUUGCUCUCAGGUGUUUGUUGCAUAACUUCAUUUAAUACUCCAAGGGCUGUGUGAGAGUUGCACUGAUAGCACAGGGGAUCUCCAGCCGUUUUCGGACUCUGCCAGCCGGCCUGACGCACUCAGGUCAUCUUGCCUUCUCAAAGCAAGGCUCCUCCCAGCGCUGAGCGCGCCCUCUACCGGCGGAGAGCUGCACUCCCGGGAUUCAGGAUGAUGUUGAAGUCCUUGCCCUUUGCAGCGCAGAGGUGUCUUCGGGAUGCGGGAGGCCUGGCCUGGGCCACUCCUUGUUCUGGCUAUGGCAAGACAGACUGACUUCCUGCUGUCUGUCAGUGAGCCAGGUGCCGCAGCAGACACUUGGGCCCAAGAGCCAGGAAGAUGCAAGCCUGCCUCCCAGUGGCCACCUGCUCUAACUGCAGCCCAACACCCCAGUCUCCACUCUGCUGGCAGCACUGGCCCAGGGCCUGGGCACCAUCCGCUGGCUCUGCAGGCCUCACGUGCCCAGGUAAAAGGAAAGUGACAGUUCUGUAUGAGCAAAGAAGCAUGAAGUUACACACGUGCACACAUGCAGACGAACCUCUGCCUUUUAUGCUGGUUUUAGAAAUAAGGAUACAUGCUCGGUGAGGUCAGAUAACUCAUCCGAGGCCAUCUAGCUUAAGUGUCAGUCCUGGCUCAAGUCAUGUCCACCGGACACCCAGCCUCUGCCUCAGUAACAGGAAACAAUUGAGCUCUGCUGUGCAGUUACCUGCCCCGCACAUCAGAGUGACCCAGGGGCCGUGGGAGUGCACGUCCACACCUCGGAACGAACCUUACUGAACCAGAACCCAGAGCACAGGCAGGAAGGUGUCUGCAGCUCACUGUCACAGUAAGAUGAUUGCUUCUGUGCCACCAGCUGGGAACCAGAGGGCAGAACUGUGGCUUCCGGGGAAGUCGGGGACAGGUUCAGUCAUUUUUGAGUUCCUUAGCACUGGCCCCUGGAUUGGUCAGUAUUACUUGGGAAAGGAGUGAACAAGUGAGCAGGUGAGGUCCCCUCCAGUGUGACAGCAGAUGUGCGACUGCUGCACACAAACACACACGCUCUGUGCA